AAAAUUGAUAUUAGGUUACAAAAGUCAUUGAAUAAUAUAAUAGUCCGCCAGUGUAGCCAUAGAAAUUAAAUACUAGUGCCAUUUUCAUCUUAGCUCGACGCUAAGUUUCAGUAUCUAUUUAAUUUAGUUAUUAUGAAAGCACAAAGUGGAGUUAUAUAUGCAUGUGCAAUUCUUCAGUUCGAGAUAAAAGGAAGGAACAUACAUCUUACAUGGAUAUAGGCUGACAUGAAGUUAAUUUUGUUCUUCGUUUAUUCCCUCUUCCCAUGCAGAGAUAUUUUAAAGAAUCUAAAGCGUCAUAAGGACGAAGAUCUUAAAGGUCAAGCAGUAAAGAACCAAAAGGAGCCAGUUAGGUCUAUAUUUUGUGAUUCACAUGAAGGCGUCAAUGCAGCAUAUUCUGAUCUAGUCGACUCAUCAAAGAGAACUUUGGAUUCUUGAGCAGAACUACAAGAGUUACAGGCUUUCGUUGGGAAAAACCCUUCUUCCAUCUUUCAAGCAACAGAUAGUAUGUGCAAACUACAUUUAUCAAACUAUUAUAUUUAUUUUGUAAUAUAAUUUGGCUCUCCGUUGUUGUGCAUAAUCUAUCAUUUUCAGCAUGACAAGAAUUGCCAAUAUGCGAAAGGUUUGCUAUGCUUGGUGUAUUACAUUUUGUGUUUGAAGUUUUUAAUAUCCGUUUAAAUUCUCGUAAAGUGCGUUUAGCUUGUAACUAUACAAUUAGCUAAGACAGAGUUUGAUUUUAUCAAAUCAAACUUUAAGGAAAUGCUUCAAGUUUCCUCUAUUCAUAUGAUUGUGAGGGUUCCUCAAAUUUCAGAAGUUCCACUACAACAGUUACUAUAAUUAGUCAGAUUAUGAUGGUACUAUGCUAUUAUCAAGAGUGUACGAGUUUUAAUCAAGAGGAAUGGAUUUAGCUCAGCCUUGCCCAAGCGUAUCCCAAAACACAAAG